rnacentral:lncRNA from 1 species
UAGCAAUGCUGAAGUGAAGUCAUUGAAUCUUGUAUUCUGUGGAAUAAAUAUUGAUUCACCUAUGUUGUUCUUCGAAUCAUGAACAAAAAUUGUUCGGUUAUUUUCAGAACUAUACACAUUUGUUAUUGAAAUAGCUAUGGACCUUGUUUCUCUGCACUAUAUUUGUCAUGAUGUUCAAAACCUACUUUUAUAGACGACUAUACAAUAUGGGGUUUUUCACAUUAUUGAAGGCUGUAUGGUUGCCUAUAAUUGCUUACACCCACUUCAUUUGAACUUUGGUGGAUAUUUGUCUCAUUGACAAUCAUACCACAUUUCCUUUUUUCAUAUUUAAAAAUAGAACUUUAAUGGCUAGUUGUCAUCAUUGACAAUUAUACCACAGUUCGUUGUUUCAUAUUCAAAAUAUAGUUUCUGAUAUAAGAGUGUCAGAAGUCAUAAUUUACUAGUAUAAUCAAGAAAGUACUCAUUAGUUUACUUAAGGUGGUAUGGGAGUCUAAAAUAAAAAUGAUAGAAUUUGUUCAUACUUUGCCAAAACGUUGUAUCUAUUGAUACAUGUUGAAAAAUAUAAUAAAAAUGAUAGGUCACCGCGCAUUUUCUCAAGCUACAGGACGGGACAAAAUGACACAUUUUGUAUGGAUUAUACAGGAAAAAACACCAUUUUGUGAUUAGAAACUAAACAAAAUGAUAGAAUUGUUAAAUAUUUCAGGAAAAGAUAGCUUUCAGACACUGCUUUGAGAAUAUCAAAAGAAAAGAUAUGGUCACCGUACGUUUUUUCCGGCUAAAAUACAAAAUAGGAAAAUUCCAUACAGAAUCCUUCAGAAAAUGCACUUUUUUAGAGUUACCUCCCCUUAAAAAGCCAAUUUUUAAAAAAGAUAAAAACUACCAAAAAUAAUUAACAUUUGCAAAAAUAUCAAUAUUUAGAAGUUAUAUUCUUAUAAAUUGGUACUUUUAAAUGAAAAUGUACAUUAAACAUCUGCAUUCCUGCAUCAAAUUUUGCUAACUUGAUGGAAAAUCUGGACCUUUGAUUCUCUGUUUUUUACAAUCCAAGAUGGAGGAAGACACCCAUACCACCUUAAGC